UAGGGAAUCUUCCGCAAUGGGCGAAAGCCUGACGGAGCAACGCCGCGUGAGUGAUGAAGGUCUUCGGAUCGUAAAACUCUGUUAUUAGGGAAGAACAAAUGUGUAAGUAACUAUGCACGUCUUGACGGUACCUAAUCAGAAAGCCACGGCUAACUACGUGCCAGCAGCCGCGGUAAUACGUAGGUGGCAAGCGUUAUCCGGAAUUAUGGGGCGUAAAGCGCGCGUAGGCGGUGUUUUAAGUCUGAUGUGAAAGCCCACGGCUCAACCGUGGAGGGUCAUUGGAAACUGGAAAACUUGAGUGCAGAAGAGGAAAGUGGAAUUCCAUGUGUAGCGGUGAAAUGCGCAGAGAGAUGGAGGAACACCAGUGGCGAAGGCGACUUUCUGGUCUGUAACUGACGCUGAUGUGCGAAAGCGUGGGGAUCAAACAGG
rnacentral:rRNA from 1 species